GCCGGGGAGGAUUAUUUUAUGACACUUUACCAACUUGUCCAUUCUUUUACGAAAAUAACCUUUCGACAACUGAAAGAUACUCUAAGGCUAUUUCGGCAAGAACGGUUUAAGACGCGGCCGAAGCUGGCUCGGCUUAUUAUGACAAAAUUCAAACGAUAUUCACCUGACCGCCGACUCUUUGUUUUUUUUUUCUUUUAAAAUUAUAAUAAAAACCUGGUGUUGCAAACACGGUCCUUCAGCGCCUCGGGGACGAAGAUUUAUAGGGCUGUGUGGGUCAACUAGACCAAAAAUCCUAAACAUGACCCAAAAGUGGUUGUUUAUGCAAAGUCAGCCUUCCGGCGUUCCUUUCGGGAACAUUCGGCUAUUUAUGACAUAACAACAUCACAUGACUUAUUUAUGACUCUUUUUAUCAUUUUUCAAAUUAGAAAACUCAAUAUUGCAAACACGACCUUUCAACGUCUCGGGGACGAAGAUUUUUAAGGCUGUGUGGGUCAACUGGACCAAAUCUUAGACAUGACCCAAAAGGUGGCUGUUUAUGCAAAGUCAGCCUUCCGGCGUCCCUUUCGG
rnacentral:lncRNA from 1 species